UCUGCAGUGAUGAGCCUCUAACAUGUAAGAAGUAAACCCUUUAUGGUAGUCUUCGAUGAAAUGUCUUUGUUACGCUUGGCUUCUGAGCUAU